UACGUAGGGGGCUAGCGUUGUCCGGAAUCAUUGGGCGUAAAGCGCGUGUAGGCGGUUCGGUAAGUCCGCUGUGAAAGUCGGGGGCUCAACCCUCGAAUGCCUGUGGAUACUGUCGGACUAGAGUACGGAAGAGGCGAGUGGAAUUCCUGGUGUAGCGGUGAAAUGCGCAGAUAUCAGGAGGAACACCAAUUGCGAAGGCAGCUCGCUGGGACGUUACUGACGCUGAGACGCGAAAGCGUGGGGAGCAAACAGG
rnacentral:rRNA from 1 species